CUCAUUCUACCAUUGUCACAUCACUCAUUUACCUGGAGACAUGACUGACAGAUAAUAGUCAAAGUGACAUCCCUCAGCAGGUUCGUUGAAUGUGAUGGGUGAGGAGGAAAGAACUUGCAGGUCGAGGAAGGUGAGGGUAAAAUGAGGCAGUUCUAGAUUUCGCCUCAGAUGAAAUGAUGAGGAUACAAAGCUUCCGUCAGACCCCACCCCUACCUGACAGCCCUGCGGGAGAAAGGAGCUGUCCUGAGACGCUGGCUCACAGGGCCCCAUUGUCCUCUUCUUAUGGACUUUGGCCUAUGAGGAAGUAAAGCAUCCAACAAGAGCAUAGUGGGGUUCCACUGCAGACAGGUAUGUUACCCCAUAGUUCAUGAGAAAAGAAACAAAGACUAGAUGAUGGAGUGAGCAGGAUGAGAGAUUAAUCUGCAGAAGCCAAAGACACAGGAUCCAAGUCAGGAUUCCAGAGACAUGAGUGUGGAGCCAGAGAGAUGGGAUCAAAGUGGAGGUAGGUCAGGGGGAAAGGGCAGUGGUAUGGGCCAUUUGCUUAAAAUACCCAUUAAUGUUUGAAACUUGUUGUUAUAGACCAGCAGGAGUAUCAUGCGUGCUGGAUGGACCUGACUUCAAAUGCUCAGGCAGGAACAGAUAAUUUGCUUGUUCAAAACUCUUUAUUGAAGCCUUAGUGCCUAAAUAGCAGAGUCCCAGGCACUUGAACUUUCUCUCCAAGGUCUUCUAAAAUAUGAUCUGACCUUUCCUUCCUCACUUUGCACUUUCUAUUCCUUUAUUGUUCCUCAAAUUCCUUUCAUCUUCUGAUUUUUGCCUGGAAUGCCUUUCUGCUGUCUCUCCUGUACAAAUUCUAUUCAUUUUUAAAGCCUCUGUUUCUCUGAAUGCUGUCCUGGCCACUCUAGCCUGAUGUGAACUUUUCCCAUUCUGGACUCUCACAGUCAUUAUUAUCUGCCCACGCAUUUGGCAAUUGGUCAUUGUCUCCUUGAGAUUCUUUUGGAAACAAAUCCCCCACCAAGCCAACUUAAGCAAUAAAGAAAUUUAUUAUCUCA
rnacentral:lncRNA from 1 species